rnacentral:rRNA from 1 species
AUUGAACGCUGGCGGCAGGCCUAACACAUGCAAGUCGAACGAGUGGCGGACUGGUGAGUAAUGUCUGGGAAACUGCCCGAUGGGGGGGGAUAACUACUGGAAACGGUAGCUCAUACCGCAUACCAUCGGAUGUGCCCAGAUGGGUUUAGCUAGUCGGUGGGGUAACGGCGCACCUAGGCGACGAUCCAUAGCUGGUCUGAGAGGAUGACCAGCCACACUGGGACUGAGACACGGUCCAGACUCCUACGGGAGGCAGCAGUGGGGAAUAUUGCGCAAUGGGCGAAAGCCUGAUGCAGCCAUGCCGCGUGUAUGAAGAAGGCCUUCGGGUUGUAAAGUACUUUCGGUGGGGAGGCGUUAUCCACAGAAGAAGCACCGGCUAACUCCGUGCCAGCAGCCGCGGUAAUUC